GCAAUGGUGUCUUUAGACACCACCACUACUCUCUAGGAAUCUCUA
rfam:Picea glauca, whole genome shotgun sequence.